rnacentral:rRNA from 1 species
GAUAUUGGACAAGGGGGGCAACCCUGAGCCAGCCAUGCCGCGUGUGUGAAGAAGGUCUGCGGUUUGUAAAGCACUUUAUGUGGGGAGGAAGGGCUCUAGGUUAAUACCCUGAAGUUUUGACGUUACCAACAGAAGAAGCACCGGCAAACUCUGUGCCAGCAGCCGCGGUAAUACAGAGGGUGCAAGCGUUAAUCGGAAUUACUGGGCGUAAAGCGCGCGUAGGUGGUUCAGUAAGAUGGGUGUGAAAUCCCCGGGCUUAACCUGGGAACUGCUUUCAUAACUGCUGAGCUAGAGUACGGUAGAGGGUAGUGGAAUUUCCUGUGUAGCGGUGAAAUGCGUAGAUAUAGGAAGGAACACCAGUGGCGAAGGCGACUACCUGGACUGAUACUGACACUGAGGUGCGAAAGCGUGGGGAGCAAAC